CCUACGGGUGGCAGCAGUGGGGAAUAUUGGGCAAUGGGCGCAAGCCUGACCCAGCAACGCCGCGUGAAGGAAGACGGCUUUCGGGUUGUAAACUUCUUUUCUGAGGGACGAAGAAAGUGACGGUACCUCAGGUAUAAGCCACGGCUAACUACGUGCCAGCAGCCGCGGUAAUACGUAGGUGGCAAGCGUUAUCCGGAUUGAUUGGGUGUAAAGGGCGUGUAGGCGGGAAAGCAAGUCAGUUGUGAAAAUGCAGGGCUCAACCCUGAGACUGCAUUUGAUACUGUUUUUCUUGAGUACUGGAGAGGAAAUCGGAAUUACGGGUGUAGCGGUGAAAUGCGUAGAUAUACGGAGGAACACCGGUGGCGAAGGCGGAUUGCUGGACAGUAACUGACGCUGAGGCGCGAAAGCGUGGGGAGCAAACAGGAUUAGAUACCCGGGUAGUC
rnacentral:rRNA from 1 species